GAUGAACGCUGGCGGCAUGCUUUACACAUGCAAGUCGGACGGGAAGUGGUGUUUCCUGUGGCGGGCGGGUGAGUAACGCGUAAGAACCUGCCCUUGGGAGGGGGACAACAGCUGGAAACGGCUGCUAAUACCCCGUAGGCUGAGGAGCGAAAGGAGGCAUCCGCCCAAGGAGGGGCUCGCGUCUGAGUAGCUAGUUGGGGAGGUACUAGCUUACCAAGGCCGUGGUCAGUAGCUGGUCCGAGAGGAUGAUCGGCCACACUGGGACUGAGACAAGGCCCAGACUCCGACGGGAGGCAGCAGUGGGGAAUUUUCCGCAAUGGGCGAAAGCCUGACGGAGCAAUGCGUCGUGGAGAUAAAAGGCCUACGGGUCAUGAGCUUCUUUUCCUGGAGAAGAAACAAUGACGGUAACUGGGGAAUAAGCAUCGGCUAACUCUGUG
rnacentral:rRNA from 1 species